GCGGCCGAGCCCGCCCAGCGCCGCGGAUGGCGCGGGUGUCGCUGCUCGGUGCUUUGGAACACCCUGAAGGAGCGCGAGGUGGCGGCGCUCUAUUCUGCAGCCAGAGCUCCGGCGGUGCCUUUUCCGUACUGUGUGAGUGAGCGAGCAUGACAGGCUGCCCACCGGGGGAGCUCGGGCUCUUGAAACAAAGGUCCACGCGAUUUGAAGGGCAUUAACGACCACCUGGAGACGCGGCGAGGCUACCGCGCGGGUCCCGACGCUGCCGCAUUUGUUCCCCGAGCGUUGCCGCCUUGCAGCCCGCUCCGCGCCGGGAGCUGUGCUGUAGGAGAACACGGUGCCGGCCGGCGCGCAAGCGCUGUACACGGCGUGUGUCUAGGGCUGCGAGCUCUAGGGAGCUUUCACUAAUCAAAACAUGAAGUGUUUUCGAAGAACACCGUUGCCUGAAUGGCCGUCAGCAGGCGGCCCUGCAGCGUAGCGGCUGCCUCGGCCCUCAGCCUUGACGCCGUGAGCUGCCCCUGCUGGAAAGGUCAGCCUCGCAUUUUUGGAAGAUGGUCAGAAUCAUUUCCAUGACUCAAGUUUCCUUCUCUUUGUGGAAAAAAGAGAAAAACAUGUGAAAAUUGCAUCGUAGGAAAAAGGCCUUAUCCUAAGGUAAAACCAGAGGAUCAGUUCUACCAACAGAGGUCAUGCUGUAAGCUCAGCUGGUAGGAGUUGUGGUGACCCUACUCAUGCUUUAUUACCCUCAUACCAGCUGUGUAGAGCGGGCUGUGUGCAGUAAUGCUGGG
ensembl:lncRNA